ACACGACUACAUUAGAUACCCCGGUAGUCCUAGGCGUAAAUGAUGCGAGUUAGGUNUGGGGGCAUCUACGAGAUGGCCCUGUGCUGUAGGGUAGCCGUUAAACUCGCUGCCUGGGGAGUACGGUCGCAAGGCUGAAACUUAAAGGAAUUGGCGAGGGAGCACCACAAGAGGUGGAGGCUGCGGUUCAAUUGGACUCAACGCCGGAAAACUCAUCGGGAGCGACAGCAGUAUGAUUGCCAGGUUGAUGACCUUGCUUGACAAGCUG
rnacentral:rRNA from 1 species